GGUCGAUUUGUACUUGUAUUCUUGCCUUACCUAUAGAGCUUUGAAGGGUGAAUGUUUUCAUCCUGGCAUAUGUACUUCACUCUAAUUGUUUCGCUGAAGCCAAUCUAAAUAUUUAUCUUAAAAUCUUCUAAUCUACAUGUGAUAGUUUGUAUGAAAAUGUAUUUUGAAUAAUAUUGUGAGAUACUGUGUAAUCCUCAUUUUUCGUUAGGGACAAAUGUUCGUGGCUUUGGUGUGUAACCUUAUUCCUUGAAUUUACAUCCCCACGAACAUAUACACAAUCAUUUUUUUAGUAUUUAUCAAAAUUAUCAAAAUUAUCCUGAUUACACUAUAAACUAAAUGAAGUCCCCAAGAAUCAGGAAAAUUUUGAACAUUGACCCCCACAAAUAAAAUGAUUCCACAGU
rnacentral:misc_RNA from 1 species